rnacentral:rRNA from 1 species
UACGUAGGGUGCGAGCGUUGUCCGGAAUUACUGGGCGUAAAGAGCUCGUAGGUGGUUUGUCGCGUUGUCCGUGAAAACUCACAGCUCAACUGUGGGCGUGCGGGCGAUACGGGCAGACUGGAGUACUGCAGGGGAGACUGGAAUUCCUGGUGUAGCGGUGGAAUGCGCAGAUAUCAGGAGGAACACCAGUGGCGAAGGCGGCUCACUGGACCGGUAUUGACGCUGAGGUGCGAAAGCGUGGGGAGCAAACAGG